UCCGGGGAAUCGUCACAAGGCCAACUGUAGCCUCACACUGCAUCGUCCACCUCACGUCAUCUCACAAAGGCAUUCUGUCUUCUCACAUCAUCACAGGAAGGAAUGAGGAAGAGAGAAGUAAAAGAAAGAAAGAAAAAAAAAGAAAACAAUUCAAGGAAAAACAGAAGCAAAGAAAAUGAACAAAUAAAUGAACCAGCAAACAGAAUGAAACCUGAAUGAAGUUACAUCCAUUUUCCCCUAGAACUGAAACUGUGAAUACUUUUAUAGUCUGUACACUAAGCAGUAUGAAGACCCAGUAUCAAAUUAAAAUAAGUGGACAGUCCCAGACUUCAGUGACAAAGCACCUUGAUUCCAGCAGUGAUUCCCCAGUCUGCUUUCGCUUUGGGUUUCCAUUGUGACCAUUAACUGCUGAAACUGAGCCCAGAGCCCAUGAUCACAAGAUCUGAACGUCGUUGCGAGGGAUCCUAAAGAGGAAGCAAGAGCUGAGAUGCCUAGUGAAGCAGGAAUCAUCCUGGAACUGUCAGGAUGGGAGUUGGAACACUAAGGAAGGUAGAGGAAAAAGGCGACAGAGCCUCGGGUGUUGACAGUACUGAGAGCUGCUGCACUGUCGUCACCUGUCCAGAAAUUCUUGUUGGUUUUGCAGAAGAAGAAAAGCUAUGGUCUGCUGGAGAAGACUGGGAAGACUUUUCAGAAGAGGAGGCAUUUGGGAAAAAUCUGAAGUUCUGCUGGAAUUUAGGGAGGUGGAGAGAAGUGUGGAGGGCAGCAUUCUCUUGAGCUAUCCUUAAAGUUUAGAGCUACUCUUCCUAAUUGUUAUUCUGGAUCCUUUCACUUAUCCCCAGUGUUAAGGAAUGACUCUGUUCUAAACACUGAAAAGCCAUCAACAAUA